UGCCAGGGAAAGGGCAAAGGCUC
rnacentral:misc_RNA from 1 species